rnacentral:lncRNA from 1 species
CUUUUUUCAGAUUCUAAAUCAAUGUUUCUCUCAUGGUUUAGGUUUGUUUAAAGGUAUAAUAAAUAGUUCAAAUCAAAUCUUUCUAUUUCACCUAUGAGAAGAAGUUGUCAGCUAAGUAACUGCAUCCCUUCAAAUUCUGAGAAUCUGUGAUUCUGUGAAUAUUGAGCAAAAUAUAAACUUAAAAAGUGAGAGCCUACCACUAUCACUAUCUAAAAAACCAGGUUGCAUAAGUUAUAAAAAUCUCUAGCCAGAUUUCCAAAGGAGACAGUAUGUAAGAUAUAAAGCAGGAUUCCAUGAAAGAACACUUUAGAAAUCUAAGACUCAUGAGUUCUAUUUUUAAAGAACUCCUACUUAAAAAAUAGCAUAACUGAAGGCAGUGUGAUCUGAUGACAAGAAAACUGGGCUGCUCAAAAGAACUAAAUUCUCAAAAUAAAUUCCAGAUAUAAAAAAGAAGCCACGUGGCAAAAUUCUGAUAACUGCUGACUCUAGCUGAUGUGUAGAGAGAAAUUACUCCAGUUUUUCUCUAUCUGUAUUUUUAAGUUUUCAUAACAAAAAUCUAUGGUUUUUAAACAAAAGAAGAGAGAAAUGCACAGAAUUCUUGUCAAGCUGUAUAUCAUUUUUCUAGAAUUAAUGUCACAACCAACUCACAAGUCAGAUAGCUCUUUUCUGAGAAACAGUGAAAUGAAAAAAUGGUCAGACUAAAGAGGGAAGUCAGAAGGAACUUUAAAAAAAUGAAUAUUGGGCCAGGUGCAAUGACUCACACCUGUAACCCCAGCACUUUGUGAGGUUGAGGUUGGCAGAUCACUUGAGGCCAGGGGUUCCAGACCAGCCUGGCCAACAUGGUGAAACCCUGUCUCUACUAAAAAUACAAAAAUUAGCUGGGUGUAGUGGUGCAUGCCUGUAACCCCAGCUACUCGGGAGGCUGAGGUGGGAGAAUCGCUUGAACCCAAGAGGUGGAGCUUGCAGUAAGCCGAGAUUGCACCACUACACUCCAGCCUAAGCAACAGAGCAAGACUCUGUCUCAAAAUAAAUAAAUAAAAUAAAUAAAUAAAAAUAAAAAAUGAAUACUAGGCCAGGCACGGUGGCUCAUGCCUGUAAUCCCAGCACUUUGGGAGGCCGAGGUGGGCAGAUCACGAGGUCAGGAGAUCCAGACCGUCCUGGCUAACAUGGUGAAACCCCGUCUCUACUAAAAAUACAAAAAAUUAGCUGGGCGUGGUGGCGGGCGCCUGUAGUCCCAGCUACUCAGGAGGCUGAGACAGGAGAAUAGCGUGAACCCGGGAGGCGGAGCUUGCAGUGAGCCAAGAUUGUGCCACUGCACUCCAGCCUGGGUGACAGAGCAAGACUCCAUCUCAAAAAAAAAAAAAGAAUAUUAAUCUUGGUCUUUUUUUUUCCUAUGCUGUUAAUGACAGCCAAAUGUACAUAUUUCAUUCUUGAUGAGAAAAAAAGAAACUGAACUUGAAUAAAAUAUAUGAUAAAUACACAUACAUAAAUAUUGUACUAUAUAUUAAUUGCAUAUUAUACACAAUACAUUAUACACAUAUAGACAUUAUGCAUAGG